UGUGAAACCAAACUUCAUGCACAUUUUCGUCGAUUCUUGGCCGAAUAUUUUACACAAUCGAGCGCUUUUAGAAGACCUUAGAAGGUAGGUAAAGCUUUGCUGUUUUUAAUUUACCUUAUAUUCUGUUAUCUGUUGUGAUUUUGGGGCCUUUGUGCUCGCACUGAUUAUUUAUCAGGCGUUAUUAUAUAGCGUGAAAGGCCACGCUAUCAAAAUACUCAAUUUUAUACUCAAACUGAAACGGAGCCAUUGUGCUCGCACUGAUUAUUUAUCAGGGCGCUAUUAGCGUGAAAGGCCACGCUCUCAAAAUACUCAAAUUGAAACGGAGGCAUUGUGCUCGCACUGAUUAUUUAUCAGGGCGCUAUUAGCGUGAAAGGCCACGCUCUCAAAAUACUCAAAUUGAAACGGAGCCAUUGUGCUCGCACUGAUUAUUUAUCAGGGCGCUAUUAGCGUGAAAGGCCACGCACUCAAAAUACUCAAAUUGAAACGGAGCCAUUGUGCUCGCACUGAUUAUUUAUCAGGGCGCUAUUAGCGUGAAAGGCCACGCUCUCAAAAUACUCAAAUUGAAACGGAGCCAUUGUGCUCGCACUGAUUAUUUAUCAGGCGCUAUUUGCGUGAAAGGCCACGCACUCAAAUUGAACCUUGCCACUGUGCAGGUAAAAAAAGCAGCCCAUUGCCAUUGUGCUGGGAUUAUUGAGACUUUGCCAUUGUGCAAUUUUAAAAGAAUUACAAAUACAAACUGUCAAAGACAAUACUGAAAAUACACAGUACACUACUUAUUGACAAUUUACUGUAACGAAACUAUUUUAUUCCAAACAGUGAGAAUAUCGAAAUAUGGGUGUGUCAAUUGAGAUAUACAGACUAAGAAUUGGUUCGCAUAACAACUUUGUGCAAGCACGACAGUCCAUGAAUCAAAUGAAAGGUAAAUUUUGGAAUCAUAUGUUAGUAAUGUUCUACUUAGAAAUAUUUUAUUUACCAUGCUUGAAAAAUCUAGUUACCAGGAUUGAAAAUAAUAAUGAAGUUUGCAUGUGGUAUACACAAAUGGUAUCUUAUCAUGUUUACGUACCAUUGCUAUUGAGGCUUGCAAAUGAUGUAGAGGAAAAUCCAGGCCCAAUUAAUAUCUAUGAUAUUGUUGAUCAUAGUUUUACAGUUCGAGCAGAUUUCAACCAAGGUAAUAUAUCCAUGUUUGGCAUAAAUGCUGGAAAACAAUGUGUUGCCAUGUCAAUUUAUGCUAUUGUAUACAAUGAAAUAAAAUCUGUUAAUAUUUGGGAUACACCACUUAUGAACAUGCUUCUAGUUAAUGCAAACAAUCUUUAUGCCAUAAUUAGUCAGCACAUUCAGAAAGAUUUCUUGCUGCUCACUGAUGUUCCUGAAAUAUUGUCUAUCAACAAUGAUACUUUGAUUUGGAGUACAGUGACCCUUUUUCUGGAGCUUUAUGGAUGGCUCGCAACAAUGAACCGUAUGUUACACUUGAACAUGCCUUUCAUGAAGUAUUUGAUACUGGUAAUUAUAAAGCAUGUUUACUUACUAUUCGAGCAAACACUGUUGCAGUUUUAAUGCCUUUCCCAGAUGUAUUCAAAGUUUUUGAUUCUCAUUCACGAGAUAUGCAUGGAAUGCCAGCGGCAAUGGGUUAUAGUGUUUUAGUUUCUAUUGAAGGAAUUGAAAACCUUAUAAGUUUUUUUCAUAACAGUUGUAACUAUCCUGGACAAAAUAGCGAAAAUAGUCUAUUUGAAUUGAAGGGUGUUAAAUGUCAUAGAAACAUUUCAUUGUCAAAUAGUUUGGAUAACACAGCAAAUGACGACACAACAUCAAAUAUCCAUGAACAACUAACAAAACAACAAGAGUCAGUUAUAGAAAGAGAAAACAGACUUACAAAGCUAAGAGAGAAGCAAAGAGAGAAACGACAACAAGCAAAACAAAAAGAGUCUGUUGCAGAGAGAGAGAAUAGACUUGCAAAGCAAAGAGAGAAAAGAAAACAAGAAAGUGUUUCAGAGAGGGAAAAUAGACUUGCAAAGCAAGGAGAGAAAAGAAAACAGGCAAUACAACAAGAAACUGUUACAGACAGAGAGAAUAGACUUGCAAAGCAAAGAGAGAAAAGAAAACAAGAAACUGUUUCAGAGAGGGAAAAUAGACUUGCAAAGCAAGGAGAGAAAAGAAAACAGAUAAAACAACCAGAAACUGUUGCAGAGAGAGAGAAUAGACUUGCAAAGCUAAGACAGAAAAGAAAACAGGUAAAACAACAAGAAACUGUUUCAGAGAGGGAAAAUAGGCUUCAAAACCAGCGAAAAGCAAGAAGGUUGAAAAGGCAAAAUGAAACUGUCGAACAAAGAGAGCAAAGACUAGCAAAAGUAAGAGCUAAUUAUAAGGAAAAUAAAAGUAGAC
rnacentral:lncRNA from 1 species